AAUCAACGCUGGCGGCGUGCCUCAGACAUGCAAGUCGAACGCGAAAUUUCCCUUCGGGGAGAAAGUAGAGUGGCGCACGGGUGAGUAACACGUAGGUAAUUUGCCUUCGGGUGGGGAAGUAACAGCCGGAAACGGCUGCUAAUACCGCAUAAUGCAGCGGCUCGACAUCGAGACAGUUGUUAAAGCGGGGGAUCGCAAGACCUCGCGCCUGAAGAGAAGCCUGCGGCAGAUUAGCUAGUUGGUAGGGUAAUGGCCUACCAAGGCAACGAUCUGUAACCGGCCUGAGAGGGCGGUCGGUCACACUGACACUGACAUACGGGUCAGACUCCUACGGGAGGCAGCAGUCGGGAAUUUUGGGCAAUGGGCGAAAGCCUGACCC
rnacentral:rRNA from 1 species